rnacentral:lncRNA from 1 species
UGGUAUUAACGAUGUAAAAAAACCAGUUUAAGAAAAAAACUAAGAGAGGAGAAAAAGAAAUCGGGAAAAAAAGGAACAAAAAAAAAUCUAAAAAAAUAAAAGGUGUGGAGGGGGGAGCCCGUGACCAUCCGAUCACCUCGGCAACACCCUCCAACACUCCCCAACAUAUAAUGUCAGUGUAGAUUUAACAACUUUGUAGCCCA